GCCCUUAUAGCUCAGUGGUAGAGCGCGUCACUAGUACUUGCACCAGAGCGAGUCCAUCAGGGGAUGACGAGGUCGAUCGUUCAAAUCGGUCUGGGGGCA